rnacentral:tRNA from 2 species
AGUAAAAUGACCGAGGUUUAGGUGAUAAAUUGUAAAUUUAUUUACGGAAUAAUUCCUUUUACUA